rnacentral:misc_RNA from 1 species
CAACCAUCAAGCCCCAGGCUUGUGUUGGGGACCUGCGGCUGCCGCAGGCCCUGAAAAUCAGUGGCGGACUCGCUAGUCACUCCGAGCGUAGUAAUACAUCUCGCUCUGGACGUGCUUCGUGCUCCGGCCGUUAAACACCUUAUUUACCCAA